rnacentral:misc_RNA from 1 species
GAUGAAGAACGCAGCGAAAUGCGAUAAGUAGUGUGAAUUGCAGAAUUCAGUGAAUCAUCGAAUCUUUGAACGCACAUUGCGCCCCUUGGUAUCCCGAGGGGCAUGCCUGUUCGAGCGUCAUUUCACCACUCAAGCCUGGCUUGGUGUUGGGCGACGUCCUCUUUGGGGACGCGCCUCGAAACGCUCGGCGGCGUGGCACCGGCUUUAAGCGUAGCAGAAUCUUUCGCUUUGGAAGUCGGGGCCCCGUCUGCCGGAAGACCUGCUCGCAAGGUUGACCACGGAUCAGGCAGGGAUACCCGCUGAACUUAAGCAUAUCAAUAAGCGGAGGA